rnacentral:rRNA from 1 species
AGUUUGAUCCUGGCUCAGGAUGAACGCUAGCGGCAGGCUUAACACNUGUNAAGAUCGAACGGCAGCGGGGAUUCACUUCGGUGAAUCUGCCGGCGAGUGGCGCACGGGUGAGUAACACGUAUGCAACCUGCCUCUGUCAGGGGUAUAACUCUGCGAAAGUAGGGCUAAUACCGCGUAUAUUCCCGGAGGGCAUCCUCCGGGGAGGAAAGGUUUCGGCCGGACAGAGAUGGGCAUGCGGCGCAUUAGGCAGUUGGCGGGGUAACGGCCCACCAAACCGACGAUGCGUAGGGGUUCUGAGAGGAAGGUCCCCCACACUGGUACUGAGACACGGACCAGACUCCUACGGGAGGCAGCAGUGAGGAAUAUUGGUCAAUGGCCGGAAGGCUGAACCAGCCAAGCCGCGUGAAGGACGAAGGUGCCAAGCAUUGUAAACUUCUUUUGUCAAGGGACAAAAUCAGGCUCGAGAGCCUGACCNANGGUACUUGAAGAAAAAGCAUCGGCUAACUCCGUGCCAGCAGCCGCGGUAAUACGGAAGGAUGCGAGCGUUAUCCGGANUUUAUUGGGNUUUUAAAGGGUGCGUAGGCGGAACUGUUAAGUCAGCGGUAAAAGCCCGGGGGCUCAAACCCCGGCGAGCCGUUGAAACUGGCUGUCUUGAGAUGUCGAGAGGUAUGCGGNAAUGCGCAGUGUAGCGGUGAAAUGCUUAGAUAUUGCGCAGAACUCCGAUUGCGAAGGCAGCAUACCGGCGGCGAUCUGACGCUGAGGCACGAAAGCGUGGGUAUCGAACAGGAUUAGAUACCCUGGUAGUCCACGCAGUAAACGAUGAAUACUGGCUGUGUGGCCCGACAGAGGGCUGCGUGGCGUAGCGAAAGCGUUUAAGUAUUCCACCUGGGGAGUACGCCGGCAACGGUGAAACUCAAAAGGAAUUGACNGGGGGCCCNGCNCAAGCGGAAGGAACAUGUGGNUUUAAUUCGAUGAUACCNCGAGGNAACCUUACCCGGGNCUCAAACGGNCAGAUGACGGAGGAAGAGACUUCUCCUCCCGCAAGGGCAUCUGCCGAGGUGCUGCAUGGUUGUCGUCAGCUCGUGCCGUGAGGUGUCGGCUUAAGUGCCAUAACGAGCGCAACCCCUGCUGACAGUUGCUAACAGGUUAAGCUGAGGACUCUGUCAGGACUGCCGGCGCAAGCCGAGAGGAAGGCGGGGAUGACGUCAAAUCAGCACGGCCCUUACGUCCGGGGCGACACACGUGUUACAAUGGCCGGUACAGCGGGAAGCCAGGCGGCGACGCCGAGCGGAACCCGAAAGCCGGUCUCAGUUCGGAUCGGAGUCUGCAACCCGACUCCGUGAAGCUGGAUUCGCUAGUAAUCGCGCAUCAGCCAUGGCGCGGUGAAUACGUUCCCGGGCCUUGUACACACCGCCCGUCAAGCCAUGGGAGCCGAGGGCGCUUGAAGUGCGUUGCCGCGAGGCGCGCCCUAGAGCGAAAUCGGUGACUGGGGCUAAGUCGUAANCAAGGUAGC